GAGAAAGGAGAAAAGGCAGGUUUCCUCCAGAACCUCCUGCCUCACCAAUUCUCACAUGAAAAGUCUCUGGAUUUCUCUUUUAUGAGUAACUAUAUUACUUCCCUCAGUGACAAGUGUUGCAAAUUGAGUAAAUACUAGCAAGAAAAAAAAUCAUUUAAAUUUUGACACCUCCUCCUCUAUUAAUUCACGAGUUCCUUCCUCGUUUAGCUUGCCAAGGAAGAACAAAAGAAGCGAGGCAGCCAUAAGGGAAAUACCGCAAAGGGCUGAGCAGUGAAGAGCCUGGUGGCAUUUCGCAUUUCGCAGACAGACAUUAAACAUCUGCUGCCUUUCUGCUCAGCCGGCAGCCACCCCGGCCAGGCGCGGCACGCUGGGGACAAGGCAGCUCACAGCUUCCCACAGCGUGUUCUCCCCGCAGCGCUCUGUAACCUUGGCGGGGUCAGCCGCGGGUAACACAAACGUUAGGGCUAAAAGCCGUGAUUUAAAAUAUUAUUCCUAUUAAGGUCCUCCAUGCCAGGGGAGGCGGGCAGGGCAGGGCCCGGCCCGGCGCGGCCCUGCCCUCAGACGGUUCUAGAAACUGCUCGGCCGAUUCCCCUCGGCGGUCCGCACCCAGCCGGCCGCUACGGGGGCUGGAAGUGCCUUCCUGAGGGAAACCCCCGGGACAACGCCGGGCUGCCGGGGAGAGAAACCCGGGCACGGCACCCAGCCGGUUGUGAGGGAAACGCGAGCACACUCCCACGAUGCCUGUGAGGCAAGAUGGGCUCUAAACCGUGUUUUCUGGAGGUGCUGGCACAGAAGACGCCGCAGUUCCCAUCCCUUGUGGAGGCCGCCGGCUCCCCCAGCUCGGGCUGUGGCGGCUGUGGCAACCAAUGGCCGGAGGCAGCCGCUGCCCUUCACUGUUAUUAGCGGCAGGGUGAGCAGAGGAAAAUCAUCCCGGUUUUAAUUUACAGAAGGUUGCUGGAGGAGGGCACCCCGCGGGAGGAGAGCAUGGGAAAACUUUAGAUUGAUGAAUAGGGAAAAGUUUCUGCAGCAGCGCUGAUCGGCAGCCAGCAGUGGCUGCUGGGAGCUGAGGUGACCUUUAGGAGGAGAAAACCCCUCCGCAGCCAAAAAGGUGGCAGAUGCUUUGUGCAGGGAGGAAAGCUUGUGGCAGAGCCUGAAACUUAGAUUUCAGCUGGCAAAGAGAGCGGCUGAAGGGCACACGAGGCUGCUCCAGACACCUGAGGGAGGGCUCGGCUCCCCGCGGAGCGGCGCUGGAAGGCGCUCACCUGUCAGUGCUUUCUGUCACUUCACUGCACCCAAACGCCACCUGUGCCACCGCCUCCGAGCUCAUCCAGAGCCUGGUGACGGGGACUCUGAACACACCGUGUGCCCUCCCCGACCACAGGGCUGAUCUGUGUCCCUGUUGCGCUGCUCACGUUUCAGCCCUGUCUCCAUGAGGUGCGGUGGCUGACAGGUAUCCAAGAGAAGGUGAAAUUUAGGAGGAUGACACAAAAUGUGUCAGGGAAACUUGCAUUAGUCCUUAUCAUAUCAGCCUUUCCUUCUGUGCCACGGAGAUAACACACACAUCUGCUGCUCAGAGAGGAGGCCACUCAGGGGCUGUAAUAUUUUCCAGAACAGAUAUCCUUGAGAUGACUUGCCAGCUGCCAGCCAGCAAGCACAAGCCAUGUGCACUGCUUAGCCAGCCAGCAGCCCAGACAAAUUGUUUCCCAAGCUCUGUAAUGCCAGGCUGAAACGGGGAAAAUGUGAGUAUGAGGCAGAAGAUUUACAAAGCAGGAAAACAAACGGAGUCAUACGAGUCCUUCAUCCUGGGUCACAUCCCUGCUUCGACAAGGUACCAUUUAACCUCACACUGAACCUGAUUUCCAUGGGCCAUGGGAACAGUUACAUAACAAAGAACAGUUGAAACACAAAUAGACAAAGAUUUUAAAAAUCAAAGCAAAGAUAAACUGUUCACUGUUAUUUAAAAAAUUUUUUUUCACAGUAGCUUACCUUGAACUAAAUACUAUAAAACUACAACUUUAGUGUUACCAUUUAUCCAUUAGUACUGAUAUUGAGUAGAUAACUUCUUUAGUAUCCUUUUACUCUAAAUAAUUUUAAAAUAAUGAAUCUUGAGGAAAAGCUUCAGCCUUAAGAAUAUAUCCGUGUAGUAUGGCUUUAUACUUUGCAGAACUGUAUCAGUAUGGGGUCGCCCCUUGCACAGCCAGGGAAUUCUCAGCUUUGACAUUUCUCUGCAGGACACAGUUGCUGUUUCAUUUUCUUAAUAUUGCAAUUAAGGAUUUUUCAAACUAUUCCUGAUGGCAUAGUCAAAUGUACUGCACAGGUUUUUUUUUACCUCUCUGAGUGAAAAACAUCAGUAUGCUAAUUGUAGGAUGCUACACAUUGAAGACAACGUAAAAAUCUAAACAUGUCAGAUGUGCUCCCUCUUCUUGUCCUUAUACAAAUGCAUAAAAUUCCCUCACAUUCCAGCUCAGUUACAUCUAAAUGGAACAUUGCAUUCUGUUUAGCAAUAUGUAAAAUAAGAUGAUAACUCAUAAUUCAAAAUCCAAUCUCACCUUAAUGUGGUGGUAAUAGAAAACUGCUUUUAUCCCCUUCAUCACACAGAUGUGCUAUGUGCCUUUACAGUGUUACAUGUGAUGAAAUUUUGCAGCUACAGAGGAAUCCAAAUUCAAUAGAAAAUGUUAAUCAGAAAGAAGACUGUAAUGGUCUGUGCAGUAAUAAAGACUGACCAUGGUUCUUCAUUAAGUUUUUCACAGAACUCCUCCUUGCAGAAGAUACUCAAUGGCAGGAGAGUUCUGGUGUGAAGUUCAGAGCCAAUAAAGAGCACAGAGAAGUUGAAAAAUCUAUAACUGUGUUGGACCUUACGCAGCUUGCAGACUUUUUUCCCUAUAAAUUGACUCUCUUACUCAUCUUAUUCUAUUUUGGUAAAUCAAAGGAUGACUCAUAGAAAAUCAGAAUCCAGGCACAACAAAGAUACCAUAUAACGAGUCAUUUAGUUUAUACUGAGAAUGUUGGCAAACGUAUAUGUAUACAUGCUGACUGCUCCCCUGAGCAGUUCCUGAAGCCUUUACUGCUGCAUAAUCCUAUUUUACCUUAAUCAAUUGCACUGUGACAUUAGAUUUUAAAAUAGGAAGGUUUGCUUAUGGUAAUAAUGCUGUACAGCUGACUCAAGAAUAAUUAUUAUGGCUAAAAUUGUAAUUAAAGAUACAUGCCGAUUGCCCAAGUUACUUGUGCUUCUUAAGAACUAUUUAUUAAUCAAUUAAAGAAUGUUUUCAGACCUAUUAAAUUGAAAACACCAUUUCUUUUUAUGCCAGGCAUGUUCAGGGAAAAAUAACAACUGCAUUUUAGUUCUGAAUCCAGUAUUUGAAUAAGCUGGGAGAAGCACUAAAUAACAAAGCAAAAGUUGACAGAGCUCAGCUGUCACCUGGCUGACAUCUCGUGUCCACAUCACGGCCACAAAGCUGAAAUUGGUUUGGAUUUCUCCUGCUGUUUUUUGUCUGGUCCUGCUCAUAUGUAACAGUGGCAUUUCUGAGCAAUAACCAAAACUCUGUAUUACAUGAGAAACUGGAGACAUGGUGCAAUAUAUGGCAGAAGGUAAGACUGCUUUUGCUUGGCCUCUUCAGCAUGUUACAUAUUAAGAUAUAACAGAAUCUAUAUGAGCUUCAUAGCACACAGUAAAUGACAAUUUCUCCACAUUUGGAGAAUGGAGGGCAUUGCCCUCCAACCUGGCUGAUGAGUUUACAUAAAUGCUAAAGCCCCUCUCAUUGUACAUCAGGGCCUGCAGUAGAGGUCAUUGUGAGAGAUAGCAGAUGGGGUAAUCUGUUUUAAGCUGAAUGUUUCAUAUUCUUUCUCUCAGUUCUCUCAUAUCAAAGCACAGUCCUAAACUUCUUGCAGCCCCAGAACUCCAGACUGAAGAGCAAAAGCCUGUAGCCCUCAGAUGUUGCAACAAGCGGAUCAAACAUUCAAAAACAAUCUCUCUAGACCUUGCAAUGUAUGAGUUUGUCUUUUCUAUUCUAUUCUGUUUGGGAAGUUCUUAAAUUGGUGUUAAAUUUGCACUAUCUGAGUACAUUUCUGAAUCAUGUUCUAUUCUUGUCCUGUUCCCUCAAAAGAACUGAUCUAUGCUGUAGCAUUUUGUUUGGGAAUUUGGCUGAUCUUAGAGGUGUUUGUACUUUGAGAUUCUAUACUUAAAUCAGAAACCACAGAGAUUUUUGAUACUACAGUUUUGGUCUGAACUCCAAGAAUUGUGAGUCUCUGUUUUCCCCAGGAGUACAGGAAGGAAUGUUUAGGAUCAUGCUGUUUGCUUUUGAGCUUGUACCCCAAGCAUUGGUAUCAUGACCAACUUUUAGAAUUGCCUUCUUACAGUGCAUUCCUCUCAUUUUUUCUAAGAGGAGUAAAUCUCUUAUAUCUGUCAUGAAAACAUCCUGUGGUGGUUUUUGUCCACCUUAUGGACAGCUUCACGCAUUAUCAAAUACUUCUAUAUGGGCAGAGACCCAUUCCUUUUGAAAAUGCUAUAAAACUAACUUGAGCCUGAGUACAGGUGGAAGGUUUCACAGAGUUCUUCCUCUUAAGGAGCAGUCAAAGAGCUGCUUCCACCUUACUGACUAUAUUAUUUCAUGUAUUAACACCUCCAGCAUCACUGCCCUCUCUCCUGGUGGCCUGCCCCUUAUACAGACUGAAAGUGGGUCAAGGACACACUGAAGAAUUACAAUUCUAAUCAAUGUUGGAGUCAAAAAUCCAGCACACUACUGGAUAUGGACGUCAUUUGACACAGAAAAUUACAGUCAGUGUAUAAACAAAUAAAUAACAUGCACAAGUGUGUAACAGAAUUUCAUGCUUUAGCACAGAUAGGCCAUGAGCAGAGGGUGAAUUUCUAAUUAAGAGAAUUGCUAUGGUAACCAGAGGUGGUCACAGAUAAUUGGGUGUGAAACCCCAUGAGACUUCAUGACAGAGGUGUCUGCAUAUAUUAUCCAGCACACUUUCUGUUUCUUAAAUAGAACUACAUUGUCAGGUCAAACAAUAUUUUUCGUAUUUUAGGUGCCUUCUUUUUGAGCAACUGAAGUGCAACUCGUAAGGGGUCUCUGUUCUUUAAAUGGUAUCAGAACAGUCCAUGUGCAAGGCCAAACUGGAGGGAGGAUUCUCAGCCUUAGCUUACUCUUAAUGGUGGGUUAAGAAGAGAGGUGUUUGACUACAUGUUUGCUAACCCACCUGAAUGGGACACAGAAGAGAGAUGACUGCCUGUGUUGGCAAAGCAGAACCAUCAGGGACAGAGGAACACUGCUCCUCACAGUGGGACUGUGCACACUGUCCAGCCUCAUGAUUGCCUUGAUACUGCAUUGUCUUAGUUAAAACAGUUAUUAUGUAAAAUUGGUAUUUUGUUAUCACAAUUCAUGGGAUAGUAAAGGGAUAAUCACAGAAGCUGAGUUAUUCUGUGCAACCCAGACCAGUAUGAUCAGAGCAGAGGGGAUGCUUAAAACUCACAUUACAUGAGCACAGUAACACCUGCUUCAGCAACCAGUUGUGAUUAAGCAAAUUUACAAAAAUUAUUUACCAACUUAAGUACUUUUUAUUAGAUAGUUUUGAGUGUUAUCUUAGCUAAUUAGAUAUGUGAUGAAUAAUAUAUUAUCUGUGUAAUGAACCGUGAUGAAGAUUAAAGGAAAAUCUCAUUAUUUCAAAUUGUUCUUCUGGCACAAGAUUUCUAAGAUUUGUAUUUAAAUCUGUUUUUGAACAUGUGGAUAUGAAUGAAAGGUCAGCUCUUUGCUUUGCAAAUCCCCAUUUCUCUGUACCAGCUGCACUUAAAGGGCACAGAGUUAAUUCAGUGCAUCCAAUAUUCCUCUGGUCUGGAGGAACCCUGUGAAUUCUCAGGACAGGACGGAGUCAGAAAUGGGUAGGAUAAAUAGAUCAACUCCUGCAGAGUUCCACUACUGCUACAACUCAGAAGUUUUGAAACUCACUUCUUUUGAGACCUUCAGGAUCUUUUAAUUUCCCUUAUAUUGGUGGUGGUUCUCAAGGUGCAUUGGUGCAUUGCAUUUCAAUGUUUCACAGUUUCUCUCUAACCAAGGAGUCCAUUAACAAGCCUCAACACAUUUUCCUGUCCCUGUUAUCAGCAAAAACAAGAACAUACCUGUUCUGCAUCUUUAAAUGAGGUAGUGGGUUAUCACUAGUCUCUCUGCAUAUCUCUGCAUAUCAGCCACUCUGAAGGUGCAGUCUGUAAACACAGUAGGGCAUUACAGCCAUCAGGAAUUAUCUGACAGAAAAAUUAUCAAAGGUAGUCAAAGCUCUUAGUCUGCAGUGAUAGUGCCAGUCUAUCUGUGUUCUGCUGUUUCUGCAUGUCCAGAUUUCCCAUUAAUUACAUCUCAGCAGGACUUCUGCAUACAGCAGUGUGGUCAAAGACAUUUUCAAUCCCUAAGGAAAAGCAGAGUAUCAUAGUGUACCCUCUGCCACGCAGGGAGGAGAACCCUCCCCAUGCUGAUUAAGUACAGCAGUUGACAGCAGAUGUUAUUUGUUAAUUACUGACAUAUCCAAAGGGUCCUAUGGCUUGACAGACUCGUUAACAGAUCCAUUACCCAUUUUGUUUUACCUCAUUAUGGAACAUAUGGUGGCAGUUUGAUAUAGUACAAAUUUAAACACUUUUUUAAUAUAUUCCUACAUUGAAUUCCUCACUCACUUUUUCUGUUGCUUCCUGAUGGGUCAGAACAUGUGCUUUCUUUUAUUUUCCUUUUUCCUAGUAUCCAGUUACCUUGUAUUUUCCAACACAGUACAACUGCUCAGAGGUACUGAUAUAUCUCAUCUGCCAAUUCACACUUUUUUUUCACCUUUAAAAAAUAUCAACCAGAUGGUUACCAAAAAUUAGUUAUAUCUAAUGCAUUGUUUGAAAUUAAAGUUACCACUGCAAAAAUGCCUAUCAUGUUUUUAACUGCUUGAAGCCAUACAUAUCACUUUGGGUGCACAAAGAACUGUGUGUUCCAUCCCUGUAUUAGACAAAAGCCCACUGAGAAUUUGAGCUGCUUCAAGAUAAAGCUGAGUGAGUAGCUAAAAUGUAUGCUACACAGUAUUACCGUGUAUCUAAAGCUCAGAUCUGAAAAGCAGAUCCUUCAAACUGCUCAGCAGCUGAAAUAUAAAGGACAUUAUAUUUUAUUUUAAUCUUACACUUAAGAAAUACACUUGUUUUUGUGCAUCAGUGGAAACAAGAUGUAUUUCCAGUGACAGAUGUCUGAGGUGUUACCUGCUUUGAUUGCUAGCUAGAGUGUUACUUAACUAUAUUAAAUUUUAUUUGCUUUUCUACUUCUCUAUAAACCUAUCUUCCCUCCUUGGGAGGCACCUGAAAAUUUUCUUAGGAACAGCAUGGCCAGCAGGAGCAGGGCACUGAUUGUCCCCCUGUCCCAGGCACUGCUGAGGUCACACUGGAGUCCUGUGUCCAGUCCUGGGCCUUUCAUGGCCACAACUGGACAUGGAGGUUCUGGAUCAUGCCCAGAGAAAGGAGCAGAGCUGGGGAGGAGCUGGAGCACCAGAUGCAGCUGAGGGAGCUGGGGGAGCUCAGCCUGCAGAAAAAGAGGCUCAGGAAGGACCUUCUCACACUCCCCAACUAACCGCAAGGAGGGUGCAGCCAGGUCUCCCCAGUAAGAGAAGGAGGGGAAAUGGCCUCAAGUUGUCCCAAGGAAGAUUUAGAUUGGAUAUCAGGAAUGAUUGCUUCACCAAAAGGGUUGUCAAAUCCUGGCACAGCUGCCAAGGGAAGGAGAGGAUUCACCACCCCUGGAAGGAUUUAAAAGUUGUGUGCACAUGGCACUUGGGGACAUGGGGUAAUGAUGGACUUAGCAGUGCUGGGGGAACAGCUGGAUUUGAGGAUCUUAGAGGUGUUUUCCAACCUGAAUGAUUCAAUGAUUCUAUAUAAAAUUGGGAAUGUUAAUAAACAUCAUUUAAUUUCCAACUAGAAACUGAAGUGUAGAAACUGUCAGUGUAAUUUGCACAUGUUGAAGCGUCUUCCUUCAUGGAUGAAUUAGCACUUGAAAAAAUCAGGAAUAAAAUGAAGAAAAAGCAAAAUACUUAUAAAAAUUAGGUAUUUAAAAUUAGAAUUAUCCUGAUUAAAUCUUUUCUUGCUACAUUCACUUAACCUGUAAAUAUUUUUCACAGAUUGAAGCUUUGUAAUAGCAAUAUGAAAUCUAUUUUAUAAGAGCAAUAAUUCCCAAAGAAAGGCAUUGUUUUUGACAACUCUGGCAAAUGUUACUCGGAAUGAUUAAAAACAGGCUUUUGUCAUGCAGAGUUCCACAGUAUCAUAGAAUGUUCUGAGUUGGAAGGAACCCACAAGGAUCUUGGAGUCCAACGCUUAAGUGAAUGGUCCAAACUGGCAUCAAGUCCACAAAAUGUUGAUGGUGUAGAACUCACACUGAGUGAAACAAAGCCUUGAUGUACCUCAGCUGAUUCUGAACAAUAUGCAGCACCAGGAAUAAAAUUAAUCAUUAAAAUAUUAUUAAUAGGAAAAUGGAGUAGUUAAAAUCAGAGCCAAAGCCCUUUGCAAGGGUCAAUUUGUCAGACAUGAAUUCUAGAAAACUGGGGAAGGGCAGAUCUUAGUGAUCCAAUGGAGAUCCCAAAAACAUCAAAAACUCAACACAAGCAGGUGUAAAAAGUGAAUCUCCAAGCAAAGAGCUUCCCACAGAAAGACCAAGCCCAAGGUGCCACAGGCUUGGUAUUUUAACAAUGUGCAAGUGCAGAGUCUCACCCAGAGCACAACAUCUUGCUCAGCACAAAGCUCUGAAGGCAGGACAUCUGUUAAUGAGGGCCCACGUGACUGAACCAAUUACAAGCUGCAUAUGAGUAAGGCUAGAAGGUGACAUUAAAAAUAAAGACAUCAGGAAUGAUGGUGUAUGGAUAAGGUAUAUGCACUUGCUGAGCAUCUUUAAAAUACUGGGAUAUUAAGAAAUGUUGGAAAUGGCAUUGGUAUCGUUGAAUUGGAAAUAAAUAUAAAGUUAUCACCAUGGUUCUAACAAAUCUCACAUAAUAAAAGCCUGCUGUCCCAGUGCAGGUCAAAAAAUGUCAAGAAUAAUUCAGAAAAUAGGCAUGACACACACAAUCUGCAUGAAGAUUUCUAGAAAAAAAUCAAGCACGACUUGCAAUAUAUCAAAAUGUCAGCUAUCUAUUUUAAUUUUGGGAAUACAGUAAGUUCACUCACAAUACUUAAAAAGUCAUUCAGAAAGACUGAAGUGCAGUAGCAAAAGUCUUAGUCUAAACAUUAUUUUAAAAAUGUCUUUGCUCUUUCUUCUGACAGAUCGUUUGUACAAAGCUUUUUCCUUAUUUCCUUAAAAUUUCUAGGGAAAUUUAAAAAAAAAACAAAAACAAACAAACAAGCAGUAAAUCUUCCACAGGUCCUUUCCUGAAAAGAAAAACUUUAAACUCUGUAGGCCCACACAGAAAUAACAAACUGUUGUAAUUUUCCAAACAGAACCUGAAGCUUUGCCUGGAUGCCCAGAAAGAUCAGUGGUCCCUUCCAA